rnacentral:rRNA from 1 species
UAGCGUAGGGGCGAGCGUUGUCCGGAUUUAUUGGGCGUAAAGGGCUCGUAGGUGGCCAACUAAGUCAGACGUGAAAUCCCUCGGCUUAACCGGGGAACUGCGUCUGAUACUGGAUGGCUUGAGUUCGGGAGAGGGAUGCGGAAUUCCAGGUGUAGCGGUGAAAUGCGUAGAUAUCUGGAGGAACACCGGUGGCGAAGGCGGCAUCCUGGACCGACACUGACACUGAGGAGCGAAAGCCAGGGGAGGCAAACGGG